rnacentral:snoRNA from 15 species
CCGUUCUUGUGUUAUUCGCUAGAUCUUUUCAUGGCCUAGCGAGCGUCAAACAGAACGCAAACUGAAGCAACGAAUCACUCCACAAUGGUGGGUCUACUUUACCAGGACUGCAUCAUUACUAAAGGAUUGCUACAGUU